rnacentral:rRNA from 1 species
AACGCUGGCGGUAUGCCUAACACAUGCAAGUCGUACGAGAGUUUUUAACUCUAGUGGCGGACGGGUGAGUAACACGUGAGAAUUUGCCUUUAGGAGGGGGAUAACAAUUGGAAACGAAUGCUAAUACCCCAUAUGCUUUCGAGUGAAAUGGAUUUAUAUUAUCCGCCUAGAGAGAAGCUCGCGGCUGAUUAGCUUGUUGGUAAGGUAAGAGCUUACCAAGGCGACGAUCAGUAUCUGGUUUGAGAGGACGAUCAGACACACUGGAACUGAGACACGGUCCAGACUCCUACGGGAGGCAGCAGUGGGGAAUUUUCCGCAAUGGGCGAAAGCCUGACGGAGCAAUACCGCGUGAGGGAAGACUGCCUAUGGGUUGUAAACCUCUUUUUUCAGGGAGGAAUAAAAUGACGUGUACCUGAAGAAUAAGCAUCGG